rnacentral:rRNA from 1 species
AACGAACGCUGGCGGCAGGCCUAACACAUGCAAGUCGAGCGCCCCGCAAGGGGAGCGGCGGACGGGUGAGUAACGCGUGGGAAUAUGCCCUUUGCUACGGAAUAGUCUCGGGAAACUGGGGGUAAUACCGUAUACGCCCUUUGGGGGAAAGAUUUAUCGGCGAAGGAUUAGCCCGCGUUGGAUUAGGUAGUUGGUGGGGUAAUGGCCUACCAAGCCGACGAUCCAUAGCUGGUUUGAGAGGAUGAUCAGCCACACUGGGACUGAGACACGGCCCAGACUCCUACGGGAGGCAGCAGUGGGGAAUCUUAGACAAUGGGGGCAACCCUGAUCUAGCCAUGCCGCGUGGGUGAUGAAGGCCUUAGGGUUGUAAAGCUCUUUCAGCUGGGAAGAUAAUGACGGUACCAGCAGAAGAAGCCCCGGCUAACUCCGUG